AUCAGUUAAAUUCAAAAGCGUUUAAUUGGUACUACAUUUGAGAAGUGAUGUUACAAAGCUUUUCACAUUUUCCACAGGUGAGAAGUGAACAAAUUCACAUGAAUAUGACCUGGAGUGAGAAACUAGAUCAGGUCCCGGUUUCCCAAAAGCAUCUUAAGGCCACAUUCAUUGAACUUAGCCUUAAAGCUGCAAUCAGCAGUAGACACAAUAAAAAGUGGCCUCCUCACCGCUGGUUCAGGUAAAAAGCUGAGGGAUCAAAUCAAAUCAAAGGGAUGGGGCUGGAGAACUGUAAGGACUGAUCAUACAUGAUAUCAAAAUUAGAGUUUUAACAACAUUUUGAGGCUAUAUAGUGUUUAUUUAAAUGUUCAUCGUUUACAAAUACUGGUGUAAAACAAGCUUAUAUUUUGGUUCUGAUGGAGUAUGACAGUUAAUCUAAGCUCAUGAGGCAUUUAUGAAUUAUAUUAUUCAAGAAUUAAUGGGUACAUUUCAACUUCUAAUUCCAAAAAUGGAUGCAGCAACUGCUGAUUGCCCUAACCUUUGAUGCUUGCAGAUCUGAAACAGUCUGGAUAGGCAUAACCAGUGUAGUAGUGGUGGAGUCCCACCAUAUUGCCUACUCCUUACGUAUCUGCAAACAUGCUAAGGUCAGAUCCACGUACUGGUUAGUACCAAGGGCGUAGAGGUAGGGAGCAUAUUGGGACCAACUGCAAGACAAGAGUUGGGCAAACUGAGAGGAGUAAAUUAAUGACCAGACAAAUACCAUAUACCAAGAACCUGUGCUACUUGUCAGGUGUCAGUGCUGUUAUCCAAUCAACAGACAACAGAACGAUCAGGUGCCAAUGCUGUUACCUAAUAAAAAAGACAACAGAACAGUGAGUGCUUUUACUUAAUCAACAGAACUGUCAGGUGUCAGUGUUGUUCCCUAAUCAACAGAACUGUCAGGUGUCAGUGUUGUUCCCUAAUCAACAGAACUGUCAGGUGUCAGUGUUGUUCCCUAAUCAACAGAACUGUCAGGUGUCAGUGUUGUUCCCUAAUCAACAGAACUGUCAGGUGCCAGUGUUGUUCCCUAAUCAACAGAACUGUCAGGUGUCAGUGUUGUUCCCUAAUCAACAGAACUGUCAGGUGUCAGUGUUGUUCCCUAAUCAACAGAACUGUCAGGUGUCAGUUUUGUUCCCUAAUCAACAGAACUGUCAGUGUUGUUCCCUAAUCAACAGAACUGUCAGGUGUCAGUGUUAUUCCCUAAUCAACAGAACUGUCAGGUGUCAGUGUUGUUCCCUAAUCAACAGAACUGUCAGGUGUCAGUGUUGUUCCCUAAUCAACAGAACUGUCAGGUGUCAGUGUUGUUCCCUAAUCAACA
ensembl:lncRNA